GAUGAACGCUGGCGGCGUGCCUAAUACAUGCAAGUCGAGCGAACGGACGAGAAGCUUGCUUUUCUGAUGUUAGCGGCGGACGGGUGAGUAACACGUGGAUAACCUACCUAUAAGACUGGGAUCACUUCGGGAAACCGGCGCUAAUCCCGGAUAAUAUUUUGAACCGCAUGGUUCAAAAGUGAAAGACGGCCUUGCUGUCACUUCUCGCUGCAUCCGCGCUGCAUUAGCUAGUUGGUAAGGUAACGGCGUACCACGGCAACGAUGCAUAGCCGACCUGAGAGGGGGAUCGGCGACACGGGAAGUGAGACACGGUCCAGACUCCUGCGGGAGGCAGCAGUAGGGAAUCGGCCGCAAUGGGCGAAAGCCUGACGGAGCGACGGCGCGUGAGUGAUGAAGGUCUUCGGAUCGUAAAACUCUGUUAUUAGGGAAGAACAGAUGUGUAAGUAACUGUGCAGAGCGUGGCGGUACCGAAUCAGAAAGCCACGGCUAACUACGUG
rnacentral:rRNA from 1 species